AUUCCUGCGGAAGCAUGUGUAUCAUUCCCCUAUGGUUUAUAACCCCUGAGUCUGGGGGUAAUGGCACGGGGACCCACCAGCUUGUCUGCCGCCAUCUGGGGUACAGUGCUGGAAGCGGGGAUACAGGGACAAAUAAGACACAGAUCCUGUUCCUAAAGAGGCUGGAGUGCAAUGGCAUGAUCUCAGCUCACUGCAACCUCUGCCUCCCGGGUUCAAGCAAUUCUCCUGUCUCAGCCUCCUGAGUAGCUGGAUUACAGAGAAACACAGAGGAGAGACCCAGAGAGAAGGAGAAGGCCGCAUGAAGAUGGAGCAGAGACUGGAGUUAUUCAGCCAAGUCAAGGAAUGCCUGGAGCACCAGAAGCCGGAAGAGGCAAGGAAGGAUCCUCCCUUAGAGCAUUUGGAAGAGUGUGGCCCUGCCAACACCUUGACUUCAAACUUCUGGCCUCCAUAACUAUGAAAUAAAUUCUUGUUGUUUUAAGCCACCAA
rnacentral:lncRNA from 1 species